UUCUUUGUACUGUCAGUUUGCUGGUGCU
rnacentral:piRNA from 1 species